CCUACGGGGGGCAGCAGGAGGCAGCAGUGAGGAAUAUUGGUCAAUGGGCGGGAGCCUGAACCCGCCAAGCCGCGUGAGGGAAGAAGGUACAGCGUAUCGUAAACCUCUUUUGUCAGGGAACAAAGGCGGGGACUAGUCCCCGGAUGAGGGUACCUGAAGAAAAAGCAUCGGCUAACUCCGUGCCAGCAGCCGCGGUAAUACGGAGGAUGCGAGCGUUAUCCGGAUUUAUUGGGUUUAAAGGGUGCGCAGGCGGCCUGUUAAGUCAGCGGUAAAAGCCCGGGGCUCAACCCCGGCGAGC
rnacentral:rRNA from 1 species